rnacentral:tRNA from 1 species
GCGGGCGUAACUCAGGGGCAGAGUAUCUGCUUCCCAAGCAGAAUGUCGUGGGUUCGAAUCCCAUCGCCCGCUCCA